UGAAGAGUUUGAUCAUGGCUCAGAUUGAACGCUGGCGGCAGGCCUAACACAUGCAAGUCGAACGGUAACAGGAAGCAGCUUGCUGCUUCGCUGACGAGUGGCGGACGGGUGAGUAAUGUCUGGGAAACUGCCUGAUGGAGGGGGAUAACUACUGGAAACGGUGGCUAAUACCGCAUAACGUCGCAAGACCAAAGAGGGGGACCUUCGGGCCUCUUGCCAUCAGAUGUGCCCAGAUGGGAUUAGCUUGUUGGUGAGGUAACGGCUCACCAAGGCGACGAUCCCUAGCUGGUCUGAGAGGAUGACCAGCCACACUGGAACUGAGACACGGUCCAGACUCCUACGGGAGGCAGCAGUGGGGAAUAUUGCACAAUGGGCGCAAGCCUGAUGCAGCCAUGCCGCGUGUAUGAAGAAGGCCUUCGGGUUGUAAAGUACUUUCAGCGGGGAGGAAGGUGUUGUGGUUAAUAACCGCAGCAAUUGACGUUACCCGCAGAAGAAGCACCGGCUAACUCCGUGCCAGCAGCCGCGGUAAUACGGAGGGUGCAAGCGUUAAUCGGAAUUACUGGGCGUAAAGCGCACGCAGGCGGUCUGUCAAGUCGGAUGUGAAAUCCCCGGGCUCAACCUGGGAACUGCAUUCGAAACUGGCAGGCUUGAGUCUUGUAGAGGGGGGUAGAAUUCCAGGUGUAGCGGUGAAAUGCGUAGAGAUCUGGAGGAAUACCGGUGGCGAAGGCGGCCCCCUGGACAAAGACUGACGCUCAGGUGCGAAAGCGUGGGGAGCAAACAGGAUUAGAUACCCUGGUAGUCCACGCCGUAAACGAUGUCUACUUGGAGGUUGUGCCCUUGAGGCGUGGCUUCCGGAGCUAACGCGUUAAGUAGACCGCCUGGGGAGUACGGCCGCAAGGUUAAAACUCAAAUGAAUUGACGGGGGCCCGCACAAGCGGUGGAGCAUGUGGUUUAAUUCGAUGCAACGCGAAGAACCUUACCUGGUCUUGACAUCCACAGAAGAAUCCAGAGAUGGAUUUGUGCCUUCGGGAACUGUGAGACAGGUGCUGCAUGGCUGUCGUCAGCUCGUGUUGUGAAAUGUUGGGUUAAGUCCCGCAACGAGCGCAACCCUUAUCCUUUGUUGCCAGCGAUUAGGUCGGGAACUCAAAGGAGACUGCCAGUGAUAAACUGGAGGAAGGUGG
rnacentral:rRNA from 1 species